rnacentral:rRNA from 1 species
UACGUAGGGAGCAAGCGUUGUCCGGAAUCAUUGGGCGUAAAGCGCGCGUAGGUGGCUUCGUAAGUCCGUUGUGAAAGUCAAAGGCUCAACCUUUGAAAGCCGAUGGAUACUGUGAAGCUAGAGUCCGGAAGAGGCGAGUGGAAUUCCUGGUGUAGCGGUGGAAUGCGCAGAUAUCAGGAGGAACACCAAUAGCGAAGGCAGCUCGCUGGGACGGUACUGACACUAAGGCGCGAAAGCGUGGGGAGCGAACAGG